UACAGAGGUGGCAAGCGUUGUUCGGAAUUACUGGGCGUAAAGGGCGAGUAGGCGGCCAUCUAAGUCAGACGUGAAAUCCCCCGGCUUAACCUGGGAACUGCGUCUGAUACUGGACGGCUUGAGUUUGGGAGAGGGAUGCAGAAUUCCAGGUGUAGCGGUGAAAUGCGUAGAUAUCAGGAGGAAUACCGAUGGCGAAGGCAGGUCUCUGGGCUAUAACUGACGCUCAUGCACGAAAGCGUGGGGAGCAAACAGG
rnacentral:rRNA from 1 species